rnacentral:lncRNA from 1 species
AGUAAUAUUUUAUUAUUUUUUAAAGAUUUAUUUAUUAUAUGUAAGUACACUGUAGCUGUCUUCAGACACCCCAGAAGAGGGCAUCAGAUCUCAUUAUGGAUGGUUGUGAGCCACCAUGUGGUUGCCGGGAAUUGAACUCGGGACCUUCGGAAGAGCAGUCAGUGCUCUUAACCACUGAGCCAUCUCUCCAGCCCAAGAUUGGUCUUGUACUGAGAGAUUUGCCUGUUCUGUCUCCGGAGUGGUAGGAUCAAAGGUAUGUGCCACCCACCACACCUGGUGAUGGCAGUUUUUGAAAAAGAAAAAUUAAGACCACGGCAACAGGUUAUAGAGUGGCCAGGAAAGUCUUGGUUUUCAGUUACUUAAGGCCAUUAGUCAGUUUAUAAGUCUUUUGGGCCAAAGUAUUUUCACUUUAGUGUUAGGCCCUCACAUCCCUCUCUGGAUUGCUAAGAGACUGACCUAGACUUGCCUGCAGGAUGGGAUGGAUAACCUAACUAUCUCUGCAGAAAUCUGAUCACCCAGUAUAUUCCAAAGAAUGGUUUGCCACGGAACAGUAAUAAAUGUUGUAUCUAACAUUGGGAGACAUUCACGAGACAGCUGCUGUUCUUAGUGCAUUCUAUACCCUGUCUCUAAAGUCAUUCAGAAACUGUGUAGACAUACCUCCUUGUACAAUGAAUCAGUCGUACAGAAGUUAAGCAGUUUGCUAAAACCCAUAAGGAUAUGUGGAAGAGGAGGGCUUCUGUAAAAUGAAGAUGAUGAUAAAUCGUUCACAGGAUGACUGUAAAGAAUAUCUUAUACUUGACUGUUAUGGUGGUAUAUACCUGUGUCUCAGCACUUGGAGGGCAGAGUCGGGAGUAUUGCUGCAAGUUCAGGGCCAGCCUGUUUUAUAUAGUGAGUUCAGGCCACCCAGGGCUUGAGUGAGAACCUAUCUUAAAAAAUAAAUGUAUAACUGAAUUAUGAAACAU